AUUGAACGCUGGCGGCAUGCCUUACACAUGCAAGUCGAACGGUAACAGGUCUUCGGAUGCUGACGAGUGGCGAACGGGUGAGUAAUACAUCGGAACGUGCCUAGUAGUGGGGGAUAACUACUCGAAAGAGUGGCUAAUACCGCAUGAGAUCUACGGAUGAAAGCAGGGGAUCGCAAGACCUUGUGCUACUAGAGCGGCCGAUGGCAGAUUAGGUAGUUGGUGGGAUAAAAGCUUACCAAGCCGACGAUCUGUAGCUGGUCUGAGAGGACGAUCAGCCACACUGGGACUGGGACACGGCCCAGACUCCUACGGGAGGCAGCAGUGGGGAAUUUUGGACAAUGGGCGCAAGCCUGAUCCAGCAGUGCCGCGUGCAGGAUGAAGGCCUUCGGGUUGUAAACUGCUUUUGUACGGAACGAAAAGCCCUGGGUUAAUACCCUGGGGUCAUGGCGGUACCGUAAGAAUAAGCACCGGCUAACUACGUGCCAGCCGCCGCAGUAACAC
rnacentral:rRNA from 1 species